UGGGGAAUUUUGGACAAUGGGGGAAACCCUGAUCCAGCCAUCCCGCGUGUGCGAUGAAGGCCUUCGGGUUGUAAAGCACUUUUGGCAGGAAAGAAACGUCAUGGGUUAAUACCCCGUGAAACUGACGGUACCUGCAGAAUAAGCACCGGCUAACUACGUGCCAGCAGCCGCGGUAAUACGUAGGGCGCAAGCGUUAAUCGGAAUUACUGGGCGUAAAGCGUGCGCAGGCGGUUCGGAAAGAAAGAUGUGAAAUCCCAGAGCUCAACUUAGGAACUGCAUUUUUAACUACCGGGCUAGAGUGUGUCAGAGGGAGGUGGAAUUCCGCGUGUAGCAGUGAAAUGCGUAGAUAUGCGGAGGAACACCGAUGGCGAAGGCAGCAUACUGGGAUAACACUGACGCUCAUGCACGAAAGCGUGGGGAGCAAACAGG
rnacentral:rRNA from 1 species